GCGCUCAGCCCCGCCCCUGGCUCUGCCCCCGCCGCGGAGCGGAACCCUCCAAGUCGCGGCCUGAGGAGGAAGGAAAAGGGGGCGGCCCGGGAGAGCCGCUGCGAAAUCAGCAACGGGCGGGAACCAGGUUGCCUCCCUGAGUCCCUUCUCUCCCCGGCCGGCUGCCAACCACAGCCAAGGCCAGAGAAACAGGCCCUUCUGCCGCGGCCACCUGGGCGCCUUGGACCCGCCCUCCGGACUCGCCCCCGCCCCUGCCGCGGAGUGGAACGUUUGGAACCCUGAGGGGCACAGCUCCUCUAGCAAUUCCGAUGUGAAAAGAAGAUGGAUGGAGAAGCACUGAUUCAGCCAUGGCUGACAUGUCGGAGUUGGAAUGGACAGUGCCCGGACCUCACAGUCUCAGAGAACUGGAGAAGAGUAAAGCUGAAGAGGGCAUCAUCUGGUUACAAAUGACAAGUCCAGGGCUCCAGAAUAUUCCAACAUGCCUUACUUCUGAACCAAAACAUUGGUCCAGCUAUUAGCUUGAAGAUGACAGUCACUUCACGUAAUGGCAUCUUCUCAUGUGAAAUAGGACAUAAUGACUUUCAAAUGAAGAUCUGUGAUAAGAAACGAUCUCUAAGGUCAUCCUGGAACCAACUGACCUACUGACAGACUGUUAUAAUAGCAGUUCAGUGCCCAGCAAUCCCAUUACUGGGUAUAUACCCAAAGGAAUAGAAAUCAUUUUAUUAUAAAGAUACAUGCACACAUAUGUUCAUUGCAGCACUAUUCACAAUAGCAAAGACAUGGAAUCAACCUAAAUGCCCAUCAAUGAUAGACUGGAUAAAGAAAAUGUGGCACAUAUACACCAUGGAAGACUAUGCAGCCAUAAAAAGGAAUGAGAUCAUGUCCUUUGCAGGGACAUGGAUGGAGCUGGAAGCCAUUAUCUUCAGCAAACUAAUGCAGGAACAGAAAACCAAACACCACAUAUUCUCACUUAUAAGUGGAAGGUGACACACUUAUAAGUGUGUCCAUGUGAACACACAGACACAUGGAGGGGAACAACAUACACUGGGGCCUGUCGGGGAGGGGGUGGGUAGAGAAUCAGGAAGAAUAGCUAAUGCAUGCUGGGCUUAAUACCUAGGUGAUGGGUUGAUAGGUAUAGCAAAUCACCAUGGCACACAUUUACCUGUGUAACAAACCUGCACAUCCUGCACAUGUACCCCAGAA
rnacentral:lncRNA from 1 species